GAUGAACGCUGGCGGCGUGCCUAAUACAUGCAAGUCGAGCGAACAGACGAGGAGCUUGCUCCUCUUAAGUUAGCGGCGGACGGGUGAGUAACACGUGGAUAACCUACCUAUAAGACUGGGAUAACUUCGGUGAACCGGACCUAAUACAGCAUAAUAUAUUGAACCGCAUGGUUCAAUAGUGAAAGACGGUUUUGUUGUCACUUAUAGAUGGAUUCGCGCCGCAUUAGCUAGCUGGUAAGGUAACGGCUUACCAAGGCAACGAUGGGUAGCCGACGUGAGAGGGUGAUCGGCCACACUGGAAGUGGGACGCGGUCCAGGGUCCUACGGGACGCAGCAGUAGGGAAUCUUACGCACUGGGCGGAAGCCUGACGGAGCAACGCCGAGUGAGAGAUGAAGGUCUUCGGAUCGUAAAACUCUGUUAUUAGGGAAGAACAACUGUGUAAGUACCUAUGCACGUCUUGACGGUACCUAAUCAGAAAGCAACGGCUAACUACGUG
rnacentral:rRNA from 1 species